rnacentral:rRNA from 1 species
GACGAACGCUGGCGGCGUGCCUAAUACAUGCAAGUUGAGCGCUGAAGGUUGGUACUUGUACCAACUGGAUGAGCAGCGCACGGGUGAGUAACGCGUGGGGAAUCUGCCUUUGAGCGGGGGACAACAUUUGGAAACGAAUGCUAAUACCGCAUAAAAACUUUAAACACAAGUUUUAAGUUUGAAAGAUGCAAUUGCAUCACUCAAAGAUGAUCCCGCGUUGUAUUAGCUAGUUGGUGAGGUAAAGGCUCACCAAGGCGAUGAUACAUAGCCGACCUGAGAGGGUGAUCGGCCACAUUGGGACUGAGACACGGCCCAAACUCCUACGGGAGGCAGCAGUAGGGAAUCUUCGGCAAUGGACGAAAGUCUGACCGAGCAACGCCGCGGGAGUGAAGAAGGGUUUCGGAUCGUAAAACUCGGUUGGUAGAGAAGAACGUUGGUGAGAGUGGAAAGCUCAUCAAGUGACGGUAACUACCCAGAAAGGGACGGCUAACUACGUG